rnacentral:rRNA from 1 species
AUUGAACGCUGGCGGCAGGCCUAACACAUGCAAGUCGAGCGGAUGAAGGGAGCUUGCUCCUGGAUUCAGCGGCGGACGGGUGAGUAAUGCCUAGGAAUCUGCCUGGUAGUGGGGGAUAACGUCCGGAAACGGGCGCUAAUACCGCAUCCGUCCUGAGGUAGAAAGUGGGGGAUCUUCGGACCUCACGCUAUCAGAUGAGCCUAGGUCGGAUUAGCUAGUUGGUGGGGUAAAGGCCUACCAAGGCGACGAUCCGUAACUGGUCUGAGAGGAUGAUCAGUCACACUGGAACUGAGACACGGUCCAGACUCCUACGGGAGGCAGCAGUGGGGAAUAUUGGACAAUGGGCGAAAGCCUGAUCCAGCCAUGCCGCGUGUGUGAAGAAGGUCUUCGGAUUGUAAAGCACUUUAAGUUGGGAGGAAGGGCAGUAAGUUAAUACCUUGCUGUUUUGACGUUACCAACAGAAUAAGCACCGGCUAACUUCGUG